AAGAAACAAAAAGCCCUUUCAUGCUGUUCUGUCUUAUUAUUCUGCAGUCAUGGUAUUCAUCCAUCACCAGAAUAGGAUAUUGCUUUUUUAUGAGAGAAGGUGGCAACAACACCUAAGAACUAAUUUAUCCAUCUGUUCAGUCUCCCGAAGAAAGAAACUUCUUCUUCAGUUUUAAUUCCCCCUGCUUCUAUGCUGUAGAUUAUUCAGACUUGGAAGUGCAAUUAUUUCUAAACAUAAGUCAUUAUUUAGUUGAAACUAAGGUGAUAGUUGCUAAGCAAAAGUAAAUGAAGUCACCUAGUUAAGUUUGGAUGUUUGCUUAUUAAUAUUUACACUGCAUCUAGCACAUUCCACAAAAUAAUUGAAGUGCACCUCAAGGCAAGGAUGUGGUGAAUAAGCCAAUAUUAUUCUACCCUGUGUUUUGGUGAUGUGGAAUGUCUUUUGUUUUGGGUCCAAUUAGCUACAGAAGCGAAGGUGUAGGUAUCCUUGAUAGUUCCUGACUCAAAAUCUCACUUUAAAGUGACUUAUGCAUCACUAGUGUUGAGUGUAGUACAGUAUGGAGCCUCCAAAGCUUUUAUCCUCUCCUUUUUUAAAUGACAUUUAGAAUGAUAUGAAAGAUUGGUAUUUCCAAGCCAAAUAUCCAAAGAUAGUUUUCUGUCAUUAGCAAAUUUUAUGAAAGCUGUUUGUAUUGACUAGGUGGUUUCUAAAAACAUGCUUCCUUGGUUACACAGAGGCCUCCAUUAGUGGGUUACAUAUUUGUCUUUUUGGUUACGCUUAGCAAGAGACGAUCUUGAAAUGAUGUCUGUUAUUCUUUGACUGAAUUAAAGAGUACUCCUCACAGGCAGUUACUCCACAGUUGUCAUCUGUCCCUUAGUGUAAACGUUUCUCUGCUUGUGAAAUUGGGAUUAAAUUAUCUGGAGAAAGACGUCCAGAAAUUAAUAGUUGCAGCUGUUCUAUACUGGUUGUGACCAGAGUUAAACUUGAAAGAAACUGCCGUUGUAUUUCUAAAAGUUUUUGUUUGUAAUUUGAGAUUUUUUUUUAAAAGGCAUCUUUUUAAUUUGUGUUCCUUUUUGAUCCAUGAUUUUUGCCCCUCCCCCUUGCCUUUAUUUCUCAGUGUCAGUGCCCAUAGUGACCUCCCACUGGCAGCGACAGGAUUCCGACACCACUCCAGGGCUUUACUACAGCAGAGCUCUGCCAAAAUCCUAUGGAAUGAACUCCAUCCAGAGGCUACACUGAUCACCGCUAAGCCAUUUGGUUGAUAUCUGUAAUAUAAACCCUUAAUCAUUUUGUUUUUGCAAAGCAAUCUGAAGAGGAUGUGAGCCAGUUUGAUUCAAAGUUUACACGUCAGACACCUGUUGAUAGCCCAGAUGACUCUACUCUCAGUGAAAGUGCCAACCAGGUCUUUCUGGGUUUUACGUAUGUGGCUCCAUCUGUACUUGAAAGUGUAAAAGAGAAAUUUUCUUUUGAACCAAAAAUUCGAUCACCUCGCAGAUUCAUAGGUAGCCCUAGGACACCAGUCAGCCCUGUAAAGUUUUCCCCUGGGGAAUUCUGGGGAAGAGGUGCUUCUGCCAGCGCAUCAAAUACUCAGACACCUGUGGAAUAUCCAAUGGAGACGAGUGGAAUAGAACAAAUGGAUGUGACAGUUUGUGGAGAAGCUUCGGCACCGCUUCCAAUCCGGCAACCAAACUCUGGGCCAUACAAAAAACAAGCUUUCCCCAUGAUUUCCAAACGACCAGAGCACUUGCGCAUGAAUCUAUGACAACACAAUUUUUUUAAGCCUUUGAAGGUGGAAAACAAAGAAUGGACAUAAGCCCCUUGAAGUUGAAAUACGAGGGCUUGUAUGGUUUACUUUUAAAAAGUGACAGUAUCAAAGAGUCAGUCCUUGCACAGAGCGACUUGGAAAGCAAAGAAAAAUGGAUUUUUUUUUUUUCUGUCAAUCAAUGGUGCAUAAAAAACUUUAGAAAAUGGUAUUGCAGAACUCUAGGCACAUCAUCUAACUGAUUCGCAGUGACAUCUUCUCACCUUAUCAAGGAUUUUUCAGCUUGGUAGCUUGAAACUGACAGUAUUAAGGGGCAGGAUGUUGCUUCAGAAUCACUGGUCUAGUUGUGAAUGUGUCAAGGAGGGUUAGCCCUUUCACUAGGCAAAGUAUGAAAUGCCUAUAUGCUUGCGACCGAGGAAUAAUUAGCAUGCAAGCUUGGUUAAGCUGUUUCCUGCAAUGGGGUGGAAUCAAAGAUGAGAGAUAAAAUUAAUUGGUAUUUCACAUUCAAAACCGAAUGAGUUUUUUUUAUAUAUAUAUAAAAAAAUAUAUAUUUUUCGAAUAGAUUUUUUUGAUUCAGCUCAUUAUGGAAAGUAUCCCGAAAUUUAGAAUACAAAAUAAUUGGUUGCUGUGAAGAAAGUAAAGGCUCUAGUUCUGAUUCUCCUCAUGAAACAAAAAAUCAGUGAGUUACUCAAUUACCAGCUUGGCAACGCGGGGUGGGAAAGAACUGUUUCACUUGCUUACCCAACUGAAAUACCUGUUCCUGCAAAGACGAAUGGAUCUAAUCAAAUCACAGUGCUGCUAUGUUCUAGGCUUAACUGGAAGCCAUGGGCUCAAAUACACGUCCUGCUUAUUUCAUCCUUGUCCUCAGCAGACAUUUCACUGGGAAACAUCACUUUCGUAUAUGCCAGUCACUUAGCUGGAGAUGGCUGAAUACAUUCAGAUUCUUACCCAUAUAAAAGGUUGGGAAAAAGUGCAUCUGAACACAAGGUCAGGAGGUGUGGCUGUACUUCCACAGGAAAUGUACACAAGUUCUACGUCAUGUAAGCAAGCAAACCUUUUUGUAACCAAUGGGUAAGAACUUCAGGAAAUUUUUUUAAAUAAAUUUUUGCUUAUGGGACGGACUUCCCUGCCGUUACAUAUUUCUAAAUUUAUUUUUUUCUAUGCUGGGGCAAUAAAUUUGCUGGUUGUAUGAGGCUGAGGAAAACGUUAAAUGGCCUUUCAGCGAAUGUCUUCCACAGUGGGUCAGAACUUCAGCAACUUAAUUUAGCAAACAUGUUCUAAGGACACUUUAUGUUUUUAAAAUUGUCACAAUCUGUACAAAUGGCUUACAGGUACAAAGAAUAAAAUAAAGGUAACUUUACCUUACUUAUACUUCCUGCCUUAAAGAAAGCAUUUCCAUGAGCAUAGCUGGUGAAAGGGUUAAUAUCUGCAGAGCUUUACACUAGUUAGAGUGUGUAUGGUGUGUGCGUGUGUGUGUGUAUAUGAUCAUGCAACUGCAUACAAGUCCUGUCAUUUUUUGCCUGCCACACGUUGCAUUAUCUUUAGUCAAACUGUGCAAAGUCUACUUCUAGUGUUUCACAACAGUAGGGAUUUUUUAUAGAUUCUGCUUACUCUGUGUAUACUGAAUCUUUUUGAGCCAUAGGAUCCAAGCCAUAAGACUCUCUACACGUUGAAUCCGAUCAGAGUUUGCAAGCCAGAAGGAUUCAGUGAUAUCUUGUUGAUACUAAUAAAGAGCCAACAAAAGAAGAUACAUACGAUUGAGCAAAAAUUAGUAUUUAGUUUUCUUCCUGAUAAGCCUUUUGUUGGAGAAUUUCUUUUUUAGUUUUAUAAGGAAAAUCAAGUUACCUUCCAUUGACAUAAAUUGUACUGGAAGAUUGAUGUUUUUCAUUGGGUAAUAUGGCUGGUGACACGUUGUGAAACUGAAAUCAGAGUGCUUACGUGUGUGUAUAUUCUGCAUAUUUGCAAAGAGGCAACACUUCAAGCAAUGCCUGCUCUGUGUCACUUGUUAACAUAGGUUUCCUGCCAUGUUUACUGAUUAUAAAUGAACUUAGUUUAAUUUAAUUUUACUUUUUGAGGCAGAUCUCUUGGUCCUAGUUACAGCUAACAGUUCCUUUUUGGUUGGCUGGAUAGACUUGUCCAGUAGAGUUGGUUUGGUAUGGCUGGCAAGAAUGGCAAGAGUUGUUUGUCUGAGUUCACUGCUUAAUUACAGAUAUAGUUCAUCAUUUUUAAAAGGAAAUUUCAUAUCCUGUCCAUCUUCCAUCCCAUAGAUUGUAAGUUUUAGUUCCCUACCAUAACUGUGAAACUUCUGGAGUGUGACUCAGACAGCAAGCACACACUAUGCAAUAUGGUUUAUCCUGUAUUUAUUUGUAAAAAUAUCAGACAUAGAUCCUCUAUAUAUAUAUAGUAGUGUCAAAAUGACUAGUCACAACCUGAGGGGAGUGGAGUUCGAGCUCCUGUCUGGCUAUUUCAGAUAAGUGCAGAAUGCAUUGAAUAUUGGAGAGCUUAACAAGUGCUUUCUUUUGUUCAUUUAAAAAUGUCUUAAAUUUUUCAUUAGAGUAUAGAAUCUUAUUUUUUUUAUUUUGUACAAGCUGCGCUUUUUUAAUUAUAAUCACUGAAAAAUUCACUAUAAUUUGAUUUUAUAGAAUUUUUGUAGCAUUACAAAAAGUAUAGUAAAAACUGAGGUUAAUACCUGUUUUGGCUAACCAUAUGAAAGUAUUAAAUCUUGAACAAAAGUCGUAUUUUUUUUUACUAGAUGUUAAAUAGGGCAAUAUUUUGUUCUGCGAGUCGUCACCACAAAAGGUUUCUAAUAGGUCAGCUGCAUUACCAGCAGUUUUUCUUUUCCCAUUUAAUGCAGAAAUUAUUCUGGUAUGAGAUAUUCAGAAUUUCAUCAUUUUUCUCUGUGGGAGUGAUGCAUACAUUUGAUGCCAUUUGUGUACUAAAUUGUAAUUUUGGGAAUGCUGGAAUAAUUCCUACCAAGACUGUCUUAAUUGUGCCAUCUGACAUCUGAAUGUCAUCCUGGUAUUAGCUCAUAAUAAAAGAUACAAAGAAAUGA